rnacentral:rRNA from 1 species
CAUGACCCCAGAUCAGACGGGACCACCCG